rnacentral:rRNA from 1 species
UACGUAGGGUGCGAGCGUUGUCCGGAAUUAUUGGGCGUAAAGAGCUCGUAGGUGGUCUGUCGCGUCUGGUGUGAAAACUCGGGGCUUAACCCCGGGCCUGCAUCGGGUACGGGCAGACUAGAGUGUGGUAGGGGAGACUGGAAUUCCUGGUGUAGCGGUGAAAUGCGCAGAUAUCAGGAGGAACACCGGUGGCGAAGGCGGGUCUCUGGGCCAUAACUGACACUGAGGAGCGAAAGCAUGGGGAGCGAACAGG